rnacentral:rRNA from 1 species
UGCCACCUACGGGACGCAGCAGUAGGGAAUUUUCGUCAAUGGGCGCAAGCCUGAACGAGCAAUGCCGCGUGAACGAGGAAGGUCUUCGGAUCGUAAAGUUCUGUUGAAGGGGAAAAAGAGCGGAGAGAGGAAAUGAACUCCGAUUGAUAUUACCCUUCGAGGAAGUCACGGCUAACUACGUGCCAGCAGCCGCGGUAAUACGUAGGUGGCGAGCGUUAUCCGGAAUGAUUGGGCGUAAAGGGUGCGUAGGCGGCCUGCUAAGUCUGGAGUGAAAGGUACCGGCUCAACCGGUACAGGC